rnacentral:lncRNA from 1 species
UCCUACUCACCCAUAGCCAAGGCAUGGAGACCUCAACACACCUGGGCCCUAGACAUCACCUUUCAUUAUGAAGUUUCACUCUUGUUUCCUAGGCUGGAGUGCAACGGCACAAUCUCUGCUGACUGCAACCUCCUUCUCUUGCAUUCAAGCCAUCCUCUUGCCUCAGUGUGCAGAAUAGCUGGAAUUACAGGCAUGUGCCACCAUACCUGGCUCAGUAUUUUCAAUAGAGACAGGGUUUCUCCAUGUUUGUCAGGCUGGUCUCGAACUCCGUAUUUCAAGUGAUCCAACUGACUCAGCCUCCCAAAAUGCUGGGAUUACAGGUGUGAGCUACCGUGCCCAGCUAGCUUUCUUUUUUGCUCCUUCUAUUUUUGCGGGGGAGACCAAGUCUCACUCUGUAGCCCAGGCUUGAGUAUGGUGGUACAGUCUCGACUCACUGCAGCCUUGACCUCCUGGGCUCAGGUGAUCCUUCCACCUCAGUAACUGGGACUAUAGGCACAUGCGACCUUGUCUGGCUAAUUAUUUUUGAUUUUCAAUAGAGACGAGGUCUUGCCAUGUUUCCCAGUCUGGUCUGGAAUUCCUGGCCUCAAGCAAUUCUCCCACUGCCCCCUCCCAAAGUGCUGCUAUUAUAAGCGUCAG